GACGAACGCUGGCGGCGUGCUUACCACAUGCAAGUCGAACGGAAAGGCCCUGCUUUUGUGGGGUGCUCGAGUGGCGAACGGGUGAGUAACACGUGAGUAACCUGCCCUUGACUUUGGGAUAACUUCAGGAAACUGGGGCUAAUACCGGAUAGGAGCUCCUGCUGCAUGGUGGGGGUUGGAAAGUUUCGGCGGUUGGGGAUGGACUCGCGGCUUAUCAGCUUGUUGGUGGGGUAGUGGCUUACCAGGGCUUUGACGGGUAGCCGGCCUGAGAGGGUGACCGGCCACAUUGGGACUGAGAUACGGCCCAGACUCCUACGGGAGGCAGCAGUGGGGAAUAUUGCACAAUGGGCGGAAGCCUGAUGCAGCAACGCCGCGUGCGGGAUGACGGCCUUCGGGUUGUAAACCGCUUUCGCCUGUGACGAAGCGUGAGUGACGGUAAUGGGUAAAGAAGCACCGGCUAACUACGUG
rnacentral:rRNA from 1 species